AGCCCCAAGGAUUCGGGGAGUCUCAGGAUGAGACCGGUGUACUAGGAUGGUAUAUCGAACAUGGACUGUGAAGGGACAGCCGAGGAACGGCUAGCGGUAAGCAGGAAGUUUGCCGGUCAGGAUGACAAAAUGGACCACUUCAGGAUGAAGUCAAGGACCCCUCCAGGAAGGAUGCUGAGAGUCAGUACAGGAAGGACUGACGGGCGAGGAUUGCCGAAGGACAACUUCAGGACGAAGCAUAAAGGAUUGGGCUGACGGAUUACAGCCACUCAAAGGAAUGAUGCAGGGAGCACCAUAGUAGCGGGAUUGCUGCAAGUAAGACCUAAGGGCGCAACGCAAGUUGCGCCCG
rnacentral:other from 1 species